AGAUUGAACGCUGGCGGCAGGCCUAACACAUGCAAGUCGAGCGGCAGCACGGGUACUUGUACCUGGUGGCGAGCGGCGGACGGGUGAGUAAUGCCUAGGAAUCUGCCUGGUAGUGGGGGAUAACGCUCGGAAACGGACGCUAAUACCGCAUACGUCCUACGGGAGAAAGCAGGGGACCUUCGGGCCUUGCGCUAUCAGAUGAGCCUAGGUCGGAUUAGCUAGUUGGUGAGGUAAUGGCUCACCAAGGCGACGAUCCGUAACUGGUCUGAGAGGAUGAUCAGUCACACUGGAACUGAGACACGGUCCAGACUCCUACGGGAGGCAGCAGUGGGAAUAUUGGACAAUGGGCGAAAGCCUGAUCCAGCCAUGCCGCGUGUGUGAAGAGGUCUUCGGAUUGAAAGCACUUUAAGUUGGAGAAGGCAGUUACCUAAUACGUAUCUGUUUUGACGUUACCGACAGAAUAAGCACCGGCUAACUCUGUG
rnacentral:rRNA from 1 species